rnacentral:rRNA from 1 species
GAUGAACGCUGGCGGCGUGCCUAAUACAUGCAAGUCGAGCGAACAGACGAGGAGCUUGCUCCUCUUACGUUAGCGGCGGACGGGUGAGUAACACGUGGAUAACCGACCUAUAAGACUGGGAUAACUUCGGGAAACCGGAGCUAGUACCGGAUAAUAUAGUGAACCGCAUGGUUCAAUAGUGAAAGACGGUUUUGCUGUCACUUAUAGAUGUAUCCGCGCCGCAUUAGCUAGUUGGUAAGGUAACGGCUUACCAAGGCAACGAUGCGUAGCCGACCUGAGAGGGUGAUCAGCCACACUGGAACUGAGACACGGUCCAGACUCCUACGGGAGGCAGCAGUAGGGAAUAUUCCGCAAUGGGCGAAAGCCUGACGGAGCCACGCCGCGUGAGUGAUGAAGGUCUUCGGAUCGUAAAACUCUGUUAUUAGGGAAGAACAAAUGUGUAAGUAACUAUGCACGUCUUGACGGUACCUAAUCAGAAAGCCACGGCUAACUACGUG